UUAGCUUAUCUGAGAGCUCUUCAUUGAGAAAAAUCCACAGCCGAGUGUUUAUUCGUGGAGCUGCAGGCGAUGUAGGGGGGGAAAACUGCGACCACUUAUUUUAAAUCACUCUUCCGACAAUUACUUCACCACCCAGGGUGAAAACCGCUGCAACAUGGACGGCUUUUAUGAUCAGCAGGUUCCUUUCAUGGUGCCCGAGAGUAAAUGCCACACAGAGGAGGAGAGGAGUCUCGGCGACAGACGGAGGAGGUUCUUAGAAACAGAGCUGGCUCAGGACACAGAGGAGCUUUUUCAGGAUCUGAUCCAGCUCCAGGAAAUAUGGAUUGCAGAAGCUCAGGUUCCUGAUGACGAGCAGUUUGUCCCAGAUUUCCAGUCCAAUAACUUGAUGCUUCACGGACCGCCUGUCAGCAAGGUGAAGCGGGAGCCCAGUCCAUCCAAAGAUUUGUCCCCCUGCGGGACCCCCCAGACUGAUAUGUGCCUUUACAGUUACAGUGCCUGUGAAAACAAACCGGGUCCAGCCAGUGCACCUGCAACACAGUGUAGCUCCAUCCACCCUGCAGGACCUCCACCCUUACGGAGGCAGCUGCAGCCUUCCCCACCUCAGAUGAGCAGCCGAGCUCCAACUUCCAGCCCCUUCCACCGCCAAAACCUCCCACAGGCCAACCAGAACCAGCAGUUCGCGCUGCGGCACGCCCCCAUCGGCUGCACGGCAGCGGCGGCUUUCAACACAGAGCAAAGGUUCCACCGGCAGCUGUCUGAUCCCUGCCUGCCCUUCCUGCCUCCAGAGAAAACCCCGAACCCGCCGUACCACCCCUCCAGCUGCGACGGCCGGCCUCUGUACCAGCGCCACCUGUCGGAUCCAGUCGUCCUCCUCCCUCCCCACGGUUUCAAGCAGGAGCUGGUGGACCCACGCUACCCGGACCCGGGGCCGGCCGGUCCAGGUCUGGCCCCGCCCCAAGCCAACUUCAGCCACGUCAAAAUCAAGCAAGAGCCAAGAGACUUCAGCUUUGAGCCCGAGGUUCAAACCUGCCAGUCGACUUUUGGAAAGUCUCCGGUUCUGUUUCAGAAAAACAAUGCUGGAUUUGGUCCGGACAGAGAGCCUCUUCGGUACUUUGAUGACACCUGUGUUGUACCAGAAAGAUUGGAAGCAGGCAAAGUGAAGCAGGAAGGUUUGCCGUACCAGCGCCGCGGCUCCCUGCAGCUCUGGCAGUUCUUGCUCACGCUGCUGGACAAUCCGGCAAACAGACACCUGAUCGUGUGGACAGGACGCAACAUGGAGUUCAAACUGAUCGAUCCAGAAGAGGUGGCUCGCCUUUGGGGCAUCCAGAAAAAUCGACCAGCCAUGAAUUACGACAAGCUGAGCCGCUCGCUGCGGUACUACUACGAAAAAGGCAUCAUGCAGAAGGUUGCCGGGGAAAGGUACGUCUACAAAUUUGUGUGCAACCCCGACGCGUUGUUCUCCAUGGCAUUCCCGGAAAACCACAGGCCGAGUUUGAAGGCCGACCUGGACGCCAUCUUGCCUCCCAACGAGGAGGACGGCUUCCCCCUGCCCAGCUACGAGGAGGAGGGUCCGUACCUAAUGGACGGAGGGGAGCAGUGCGUCCAGGGACUGGCUUUCCCCGACAGCUACCCGUACUAGCAGCUGGAAGGGAAAAAAACCCCACAAUAUUACUGUAUUUUACAAAACGAGGCGAAGCGUAAAAUUACUGAGCAACUUUUCAGAUAAGAAUUUUUUUAUUUUUUAUUCUUGUCUUGUCGAGAAGUUUUGUUUUUGAAAAAUUUCAAAGCUGGAAAUUGGAGACUGUUAAACUUGCUUCUUCAGCGAAGAAAACAAACUUUAGCUCCCAUUCAGAUGCCUGUGUUCAUGGGCACUUCAAGGAUAAUGGCCUACGCCGGCAUGGGAAAGGUUGUGUUUCUAGAGGAAAAGCCGGUCAUUUUUUAAUUAUGUAUGCACAAAAUAACUGCAAGAAACCUUAACAUUGAAGAGAAAAACGCUGACUACAAGAUGUCCCAACGUUUAAAGACAUGGUUCUAAUUUUAUACAAAAGAAUUGUUUUACCCCAUAAACAAAUAUUCAGUGGCGGUUCUUUAUUACUCACUGGGCCAGCAUGCAUGCAUUCGUUUAGUCAUUGUUUUUUUUUUUUUUGUUUUUUUUUCUCUUUGACUGUCGCAGCACCAAAUUGGUUGAGGGCACAGUGGACUUAAUUUUUUUUUGUUGCUCUUGCCUCUCCCUAAUAGAUUGACACCCUAGAUGGUAAGCCACAUUUAUCAUGUCAAAAACUGCCACUGCUGCUAAGGAGUCUGAACAAGUAAGGUCAGAUUUUGGGAAAGAUCGUUCUUCUAGCAAUUUCUCUUGAUUGACAUAACUGAAGCUGUAACUCUACGGCUAAUGUCUGUAGCAUUUUCUUCUAAAGUGGCAUCUGCACUUAAGCACAGAUAUGCAGUGUUUUGUCCCUCGCAAACCUUGUCAUCAACUUUUUUCUCAGUGUUUCAGUUGCAGCUUUUUCCUUUUUUUUGUUGUUUUCUCAGUCCUUCUUUUUUUUUUUUUUUUUUUCAAUGGUGGUAGUUUUGUAGCAUGGCCACCGCUUUUGUUCUCAAAUUUGUAAACUCUGGGACCUGUUUGGCAGCCAAAAACAAAAACCUUGAAGCCAUGGCACUCCUUUUGCUAAUUUAGUAAGCAUAUUACCCAGACUGCUCGAAAGGGACGCUCUUGUAUUUUCUGGACCAUAUAAUCCAGAAACAUCCAUGUUGAGAAUGUCUUUUUGUGUACAUUUUCUCCCUUGGGUUUUAAAGCUAAUAUUUUUAGCAUUAUAUGGACUUGUAUGUAUUUCCUAUAACAGCUUAUGAUGAAAGUACUGCUUCUAUUUUUUGGAUUCUGUACGACUGCCACUCUUAUGCUUAUGAAAGGCAUGUUUUGUUUUUGUUUUUUUUCUUCGAAACGCCUCACCACUUAAUGUACCGAGAUAGAUUUCUGCAUUUUUGUAUAAUUUGUUUGCUUCAGUGUGUAGAGAAAAAAAAAGUGUAUAAUUAUAUAUGGAUAUAUUUUUGCAAAAGGCUGUAUUUGCUUGCAAAUAUGUUGCAUCAGCUCUUCAAGGAGGAAGAACUCUGAAUCCUUCUGGCAGAAGAUGUUCCUCAUAUAUUUUACUAUAGAUCCUGACGCUGGUGUGACUUUUACCCUCAGAUACUGUAUGUGUGCCUUCUGUUUAUCUUUACUGAUAAAAUAAACUAUUUUACUCUUUUAUUUUUGCCUCAGUGUAGAUAACAAAAAAAACUUUAUGUACAUUUAUUUGUUAUAAAAAUAAUCGCACCACUAAAUUGGUUGAGGGCACAGUGGACUGUGCCACUGGAAUCAAGAUUAAGGUUUACUUAGUCUGAACAAAAACAUCCUGUUAAUACAAAGUUAUUUGAGGCACUUUAACUAACCUUUGAGCCAAAAGAAUCAAGUUAAAACGGUUUUCAGAGAGGAAUUAAAGCAAAUAGUUAUAUUUAAUUUAUAAUAACGCUGUUAUUGUCAAACCACAGCAUUUCCUGUUUACGGUGUUUUAUUUUGAAGGAACUCGCAGGAAAGAGGCGUAUUUAUAAUUUUUACCAGCUUUAUUAUUGGCUGUAAUUACCACUUGCAGCCAGCAGAGGGCAUAAAACCGCCGCUCAAAAUGCUGUGGUAGCCAUAGACUGGCUGUAGCGCAGUUGUUAGGUUGUUACCAGCUUGACAGCAGCGAUUUAAGUGAGUCACCAUUAGGUACAUUAACAGAUAUAUUUAUCCUGGGCUCAUUUCCAUGUUUUUUUGUGCGUGUGAAUAAGAAACAUCUCAGAGUUGAAGACAGCACCGCGGCGACUUAGACGGAAGUUUCUGCUGCAGUGACUCAAUGACGAUGUCGUGACACAUCAACCACACCUCUCCUCUGCCGCCACCUACAGGAUAAAAGCUUAACGCUUCACCACUUCUACACUUCAACCUGGUGACGCAUUGGCCAUACCUCGAAAUUUCUGAAGUGAGGAACUUUUAACAUUUUCAAAGCAAAGUUAAUCUUUUAUGCGAUAUAAAUGAGCAUCUUUCUUUAGUAUAAAUCCAGGGCGAAGACCAAAGACUACUCCUGAGCAUUUUACGUUGAAAAAGCAGGAAAGAGAAUGACAGGACAAAAACUAACAUGUGACAGUGGCGCGGCGCUUCUUUCUCACACAGCUGACUGCUAGUUUAUCAUAUUUAUUUAUUCAUUUUUGGUGAUUAGGUUUUUGCUACAAACGAAACAAAAAAAAACAAAAACAUAAAAAUCAGGACCCUGAAGUUUUCGAGGACCAUGAACUGUUAGCGAAGUGAUAAAUACAAAGUUCCACAUCUGCGGCUGCUUACGCUACUUCCAAUGAGCGAUUCUGUGACUGGAGCCUCUGACUCGGGUGAUAGGAUCCGUCCUACAGACUACAGACGAUGCUGUAUUCACCAUCAUUGCUGCUCUUUUGUUCUCAACCAACUGUGUUGUUUAUUUGACCCUUUGGGAAACAUUUCCAAGUAAUUGUCGUGACAGUACAACACCUCAACCCCUUAUUUCUGGAGGUAUUUCUGAUUCCUCCGUGUACUAAAACGUUUUUCCGGGUUAACAGGUUUUAAGAAAAUACGGAAGACUGAUGUCCCACAGCAUCAGAGAGCUCAGUGACGGUGGUCUCUGGACAUCAGGACAGCACUGGUGUUGGGUCCAAGGAGCCAAUCUUCAGGUGAUCACUGGCAAGAUCGCCAACAAGGACAAGCCGGGCAAGAUCUUCACCACUGCACAUUUACGGCCCCUUUGCCUGCAAACUUCUACAAAUGACCAUCCAGCUACUUGGUGACACAAGAAACUUAUGACAAUAUCCCAGGCCAGAA